rnacentral:rRNA from 1 species
GAUGAACGCUGGCGGCGUGCCUAAUACAUGCAAGUCGAGCGAACAGACGAGGAGCUUGCUCCUCUGACGUUAGCGGCGGACGGGUGAGUAACACGUGGAUAACCUACCUAUAAGACUGGGAUAACUUCGGGAAACCGGAGCUAAUACCGGAUAAUAUAUUGAACCGCAUGGUUCAAUAGUGAAAGACGGUUUUGCUGUCACUUAUAGAUGGAUCCGCGCCGCAUUAGCUAGUUGGUAAGGUAACGGCUUACCAAGGCGACGAUGCGUAGCCGACCUGAGAGGGUGAACGGCCACACUGGAACUGAGACACGGUCCAGACUCCUACGGGAGGCAGCAGUAGGGAAUCUUCCGCAAUGGGCGAAAGCCUUACGGAGCAACGCCGCGUGGGGGAUGAAGGUCUUCGGAUCGUAAAACUCUGUUAUUAGGGAAGAACAAAUGUGUAAGUAACUAUGCACGUCUUGACGGUACCUAAUCAGAAAGCCAAGGCUAACUACGUG